rnacentral:tRNA from 1 species
CAUUAGAUAGCUUAAAGUAAGUUUUGGAAUUUUAAACCAAUCUAUAGUAUCUAACGUCUACUUCUAAUGA